rnacentral:rRNA from 1 species
AACGUAGGAGACGAACGUUAUCCGGAGUUACUGGGCGUAAAGGGCGUGCAGGCGGUCUGAUAAGUCCGGCGUGAAAUCUUUCGGCUUAACCGGGGGAUGUCGUCGGAGACUGUCGGACUAGAGGGUGAUAGAGGCGUGUGGAAUUCCGGGUGUAGUGGUGAAAUGCGUAGAGAUCCGGAGGAACACCAGUGGCGAAGGCGACACGCUGGGUCAUACCUGACGCUAAUACGCGACAGCAUGGGGAGCGAACGGG